UUUAAAUAGCUGCAGUAAUUUAACUGUACAAAGGUAGCAUAAUAAUUAGUCUUUUAAUUGAAGUCUGGUAUGAAUGGUUUAACAAGAUGAAAACUUUAUUAAUUUAAUUAAAUUUAAAUUUAAUUUUUUAGUUAAAAAGCUAAAAUUAAUGAAUGGGACGAUAAGACCCUAUAGAUCUUUAAUUUUUUAUAAAAUAGUAUUUUUUAGUUAAUUUUAAAUUAUAAUGUAAAAAAUUUUAGUUGGGGUGAUUGUAAAAUUUUUAAAACUUUUAUUUAUUUUUUCUUAAAUUUAUGUUAAAUUGAUCUUUAAUUUUUGAUUAUAAGAAUAAGAUACCUUAGGGAUAACAGCGUAAUAAAUUUGGAUAGUUCAUAUUAAUAAAUUUGUUUACGACCUCGAUGUUGAAUUAAUUUAAAAUUUUGAAGCAGAAAUUAAAAAUUUGGGUCUGUUCGACCUUUAAUUAAUUACG
rnacentral:rRNA from 1 species